AAGGAAGAGCACAGUAAUCUUGUAUCUGUAAUGCAAGAGAAGAGAUGUGAAGGUCAUCCCAAGUCUUCCUACAACCCUAAAGUGAAGCCUGAAGAAUGCUACAGUGCUGCAAAGUUUUGAUGUCAGCAGGAUAACAAUUGCAUCAGUGUGCACUGUCAGCCAGGACCUCUGGCUGCCAGGAGUUGCUAGGAUAUCUCUCACAGGCCGCCAAGUCUCACAAUUCCCAUGAGAUUUUUAGCUAUAAUUUUAAAACCUGUUGUUAUGGAGAAAGCCUUGAAAAUUAGAAGAAGGAUGUCUCAAAGAAAUAGAAGGAGAUGACAGUUUGUGGUUUUGGAAUUGCUCAAGAAAAUAUUUCAAGUCUCCAUCACUAUGACUCUGAGUUUGGAGCUAGUUCAUGCUGUACACUGAAUGCUACAUGAGAUAGGCUGAAUACAAGAAGUCAGUGAAAUAAAUCUAUAUUAACAGCAUCUCUAUCUUGCAGAAUGGAAACAAGCACAAAGAAUCUGAUCUUCUCAGGGCUGCUUAUAGAACUUCUGGCUCCACGUACCUUGAAGGAGGCUCAGCUGCUCUGUAAAUAGACACAUCUGGUCCCGUUCCAGACUUGGGAUGCUGUGUUUUAAUCUAUCUUCACAUAGAAGCCAGCAUGGCAAGUGGCAGCCACUCUGUAACCAUAAGUUCUUGUACCUGUGUUUCUUCUUCUCCUGCAUGGCAAGAACAGUGAUGUGCCCAGGGAAGUACUAGCUAACUUAGGAAUGUUUGUAACCUUUUCUGAGGGUUUCUUCCUCUCAAAGCUCAAGGGACUGAGACACCUCAGAAUUAAGAUCAUUCUAGUGAAGGACAACCUAAAUGUGUAGGAAAUCAGUUUUCAGAUGUUCUCAUCUACUUUGUUUCAAAACCAUUUAUCAAACACUUUGCUUUAAAUGUGAUCCAAGAGCACUCAGGCAGUGGUCCCAGAAUACUCCCGAGCAGCCAGGCCAUCUGGCUGGAGCAGUGUGUGCAAGGCCUGGACAUGUUGUAUGUAAUAUGAGGUUUACCUCACAUAAUGAUUCUUCAGGAGCUGAGCGGGCUCCUGGUCAUCAAAAAUACAUAGUGAGAGAGAUAGUCACAGACACUGACCUAGUGUAGGAGAAGGUGGCUGCAAACCCAACAUAAGCUUAAGGUCAGCUCCUGUGCUGGCUCACUGCUUAUGGCAUGAGGCAUCUUCUCUUUCCCGUGAAGCUCCCUGCUGUGGGCAUUGAGCCUUCUCAAGGGGCCCAGCUACAGCACUGGGGACCCUGGACACCUCACAGGCUCCAAGCCCCUCUAGGACAAAGCAGCAUAGACGAUUCUGGUGCUGAAGAAAGGUUAAGGCUGGGGCUGCACCCUCAAGGCAGCCUCAACAGCAGAUGAAGUUACUUUCCUUCCUACCAGCACACUCUUCACACACCUUCUGCUGGAUGUUUGUUCCACAUGCAGCAGCUCUUCACCUGCUUCAAACUCAGAGGUCUCCUAAAGGCACGUGCUCCUGCCUCUGGGCCCUCCACCACUUGUAAACUACCUGCAGUUUGUGCUUUCUGUGCAGAAAAGAAAACAACAGUGAGAACUAAUGCACGUGUGUGAGAGGAAUGCAUGUGUGUGAGAAGCCUCAAAGCAGCACCAAUGUCUUUUAUCUUCUCAAGCCUUCUGCUUAUCUC
rnacentral:lncRNA from 7 species